rnacentral:rRNA from 1 species
UACGUAGGGGGCGAGCGUUGUCCGGAUUCAUUGGGCGUAAAGAGCGUGUAGGCGGCCAGGUAGGUCGGUUGUGAAAACUGGAGGCUCAACCUUCAGAGGUCGACCGAAACCAUCUGGCUAGAGUCCGGGAGAGGAGAGUGGAAUUCCUGGUGUAGCGGUGAAAUGCGCAGAUAUCAGGAGGAACACCGGUGGCGAAGGCGGCCCUCUGGACGGUGACUGACGCUGAGACGCGAAAGCGUGGGGAGCAAACAGG